rnacentral:lncRNA from 1 species
UCAGUAUGGAUCGUUUUUGUUAGGGAUCGCUUAAUUCUCGCUUUGGAACUUUCUGGUGAGAAUACAAUUUAAUCGAAACCAAAUAUGAAUAUCGAACACCGAAUCAAAAACCAAAAAAAAUAAAAACAAUCAAAUAUCUUUGUUGAUAAAAAAUUGGUCUUUUGUAAUAUUGUAGAAAAUUGUUGUUGUUUCUUCUCAGGGCCUUUCCAACCACGUUUUGCACGAGGGUCAUUUGAUGUUUCACAUUUCACCCUUAACUAGAAGUCUUGCGUUUCACACCUGAAAAAUAGAAAUAUUCUUGAUAGGAAAUGCGUCUCCCUUUAAUAGGUCCUAUACGACACGAAUCUAAUUAAUUAGCAAUAGAUAUUGAGUACCCCUCAUUUUCCCGUCAAGAAUUCAAUAGAAUAUUGACCUAUAUUAUAUUACAAGGUAAAUGCAAAAAGUAUUCAGGUGCACAAAGUAUCUCAUGUUUACGCAAGAUCCGAAGCAUGGUCGCACCCCAAGGGGUGUGAUUUAGGCAGUCUAUCCUAAUACAAGUAUCAGUGGUUGAUUCCACGGCUCGAACCCGUGACCUGUAGGUCACACAGAGACAACUUUACCGUUGUUCUGGAGAAGGCCCACAUCCCAGGGAGUAAUUUAGGCAGUCAAUCCUAAUGCAAGUAUCAGUGUUUGAUUUCACAGCUCGAACCCGUGACCUAUAGGUCACACAGAGAUAACUUCACCCCAGGGAGUGAUUUAGGCAGUCAAUCCUAAUGCAAGUAUCAGUGGUUGAUUCCACGGCUCGAACCCGUGACCUAUAGGUCACAUGAAGACAACUUCAUUGUUGCUCUGAGGCUCGCCUCCAACAAGGUAAAUGCAAAAGAAGAUAAAAUCCAACCUGACUUUGAUAGUUGAAAGAAAAAUAAGACAAUGACUUAGUAAUAUUUGUUAACCUGCAAAACCAAACUGCUAAAACCAUUUUUUUGAUACUGAAAAAUUAAUCUCAUCAUAUUCUUGAGAAGAAGAGCAUACUAAUAUUGUUCAUUGCUGAUCUCGAAUAGUAUUUCGACGCGAUUCCCAAAAAAAACUGUGAUGUAAGUGAGUGCAACCAAAUGGCUUAUCUUCUUUAAAAAACAAAAGAAUAAGUCAUGGCAGUAAUCACUUACCACAGCUUUAGAAAUUAGUGAAAUGUGAAUCUAUAUACAUUCAUAUUCAAGACAAAUCCAUACACUAAACAACAUGUAUGUUUUUUUUUUUGAUCGCGGAAUAAACCACGUGAAUGAGCUAAGAUACUUCUGAUAUAAAUCAACGAUCAUAUUAGCACGAAACAAGACAAGUGGCGGGUUUUACCAGGCCUGAAAUAUUAGAAGGCAUGGUAACAGGUUGAUAGUUAGCAGCGAUUUCUAGGCGCUCCCAUGUCAACCUUCGUCUCUCGGCUGCAACAUUUGACUUCGAAUUUUCUUCUUCGAGUUUGCCUUGGCAGUUGAGUACAAGUUCUUCAUCCAUCUCGGAAAAGACUUUCCUCACAUUUUGUGUUACAUUUGACUUUGAAUUUUCUUCGUCGAGUUUGCUUUGGCAGUCGAGUACAAGUUCUUCAUCCAUCUCAGAGAAGACUUUCCUCACAUUUUGGGUCAGGUUAAGAACUGCUUUAUUCCAGUGGUUUUGGCUGUUCCGUUCUAAAGCUGAGACAAUAAUUGGCAUGAUCACUUGCCUGUUAUGCAUCACGAGGUUAAGUACGUUAUCGUUGUUCCACAGGAAAUGUGCUCUUUCGGCCACCUACAAGUUUAUCAAAUGCAGCAGAAUAAGGUACUUGUUGCGAGGCGUCAAUCGUAUGUGAAUUAGUUAAAGAAAAGCGCAUUUGGAAGAAGCACAGAAACAAGAAUUAAUGAGAUAAAUAAUACAUUCCCAACUCUGAACAAGUGGAACAAACCCCCUCCCCAGUUACUCCGACCAGAGGGGACAAAGAAAAGACGACAACUAUACCUCAAUCCUAAACUAGUUGAGGUCGGCUAUAUGAAUCCUCUAAUAUCCACUCUCCUCCACUAGGAUCAUUUUCAUUCUAGUAUUUAAGAAAAAAGAUAUAUGCAUAAUUUAUGUCAAAGGAACUUCGAGUCUCAGAUAUUUGGCAAAGUAAAAAUUCUAUUAUAACCAAGAAAUCCCCAAAAGUCCAUGGUUCAAGAUUCAAACUCGAUGAAUUAUGGGCCGGCCCCUCUAUCCUUCCCCACUUAAACACCAUGCUUUUUGUCUGUGACAGACUGACAGGAUUCGAACUCGUGACAUGCACCUAACACCCACACAUUGGAAAAGUAAAGAUAUUAGGCUAAACAAAUUGCACAGAAGGCACUUUCAAGGGACGGGAUAUCUCCCUAAAUUGGAUACAUCUUUGGAGCUAUCGCCCCUUCAAAGGGAUGGAAAUGCAGCAUGUUACAAUCAAGAGAUAGAGCUGACUCUGCACAACUAACAGUACCAAGCACCGUGAGUCAGAUGAGUAAGACUAUCCAAUCAAUAUGGAUUACGACGCUAGGUACAGUGUGAAAAGCUUCUUCUACAAAGCUCCAUUUCAAAAAGGGUUGUUAACUAUAAAUCUUCGAGAAUUAUACUGAUAAAAGGAAUAAACGCUCAGGAACUUAUCACAGAUUAUUCACAAAUUGAUAAAAGUUUUUCAAAGAAACGGUGCAACAAAUGGCAGGCAAGAUCCCAAAAUCCAACUUCCCAGGUUCGUUUCUUUUCUUUUCUUUAUUUCUUUUUUGGAUAACGACAUCUUCAAAAUGUCCAAAUUAAAGUCAAAACUACUUUUAUAGCUACUAAAUACAUAAAAGGACCAAACUUUUCAUUCCUGGCGACAUCCUAAGAGUUAAAAACCACACUUUGAAGUUGUUGAUACAACGUUUGAAGCUGAUAACCUUAAGCUAGAGAUUUGGAAUUAACUACUUCUCUACCAUGCACAUGAAAUUAUUACUUCUGAUUCUUUCUAAUGAGGCAUCGCACACUCAGACAAUUCAGUUACGUAUCAUAAUUAGCGUUCGGUCACCUGCCUCCUUUAUUUGCUUUUUUACCUGUCCCUCAGCCAGCCAGCCAUAGUGUACAGAGAAAAGAAAAAGACUAGUAGGCCAAGAGCAAGCACUUUGAUUGAGAUACAUUACCUGGAAAUGGGAGCUGUUAAGGCAAUAACCUAUACGACGAAACAACGGCACCAUGAUCUUCUCAAAUUCUGCAACACUGAUCAUUUCCAAAAGCUCUUCCAACUCACUGAUGAACAUCAACUGUUUCUGGCUACUUGUCACCGGCCAAUACCUCAACAAUCUCGUUAUCGCUACGCUAGCAAGAUUUUGUUCCUUUUCUAUGAACUGUACGACACAGUAUGCUAACUGUUGGUGAUAGACACCCAAAGAUUUCGGCUUGUGCAGAGGUAUCAACGCCCUGGAGAAAAACGAUCUGUGCUCUUCCUUUAAUGGUAAAGCAAAUCCACUAAUUACACUUCCAAAAACCUCCAGAAGCUCGGCAAUCCCAUUAUGCCUUUCGGUCUCGAAAGCAAAACGAUAAAAAAUAUUGCUUACAGCCUUUCUGAUAGAAGGCCUGUGCAUCAUAAACUUCCCGUAAAGACGAUGCAAUAUCGACUUCAAGCAUUCUCUUUCUCUUGGGUCCUCAGAAUCAAAUAGGUUAAGCAAUUUCAAUAUGAAAGAAUGGUCUACAUGUUUCUUAGCAACUUUUGCGUCAAGAGAGCUUUGACUAAUGACGCUAAGGAAUAAGUCAUACACAAGUUGUAAAUGACACCAAGCUGGAUCAAACAUCGGUUCUUCAUCUUCACUUUCACCGCGAGCGGAGAGAUAUGACUUAGGAGGAAACGUUCUGAACAGGUUAACUGCACAGAUUUUACAGACCGCUGCAAUUGCUGAUUCCGUGAAUCUUGCGGAUCCAGAAGCAACAAAAUCAUUCAGCUCAAGCAAAACUUGCCGUUUCAAGUCCUUCUCCGCAGAAUCUUUAUCUGGAUCAUUGAAAUCGUAAAUAGAACAGCAGAGAUUUAACUUGCUAAUGAAUAAGCUUUGCUUCUCCGCGUUUGAAACGUCUUUAAAAGGAACGUGCGGUGGCACAGACUCACCACCAGCCACAAUACUCGUAGGAAAAAUCGCUGUCGACAUCCGUUUCACUACAUUCAGCCUUGCUGCUAUCACAGUGCAACUAUUGGUAAACGGAAUUCCAUUUCCUGAAUUCGUGGUGUUGUUGCAGGAAUUGCUUCCCGAUGUAUCAAAUGAAUCACAUUUCGAUGAUUUCCUAGGAAGUUUUGCAAGGAUUUGCUUAAGCAUAGUAGCGUUACUCUCCAAUGUGCAGCAAGACUAAACCUAAGCCACACUCCAAAACAAUCUGCCUAUGCAAAUUUCAACCAAAAAAAAACCAAAGGAAAAAGCAUAAGAAAACAAAGUAGGAGAUUACAACUUCGAAAGAAAUAACAGAUUUUGUGGCAAAACAUAAGCAGACUAUUCAGAAGACAGCAUUAUUAUCAUCAGAAUUAUAUCUUAAAUAUUCACAAAAGCAAUUGUCUCAUUUAAAACUCAUAGUAACAAAAGUUCACUUUUAAAUCCACCUCUAUAUAACUACAACAACAAUCCUAGUGUAAUUGUAAUCCCAUAAUUGGGGUCCACGGAAGGUAGUGUGUAGUGAGACCUUACCCCUACCUUAUAAAGGUAGAGAGGUUGUUUCCGAUAGACUACUCGGUUCAAGGAACAACGAAUAACUAAAAACUAAAAACAGUUGCAGAAAUCACAGAUCUGGGACAGAAUUCUCACAGAGGCCAACACAAGACAAAAUAAAAACACUGAGGAAAUUUAAAUCCUAGGUCACUACAUUCACGGGCCAAAAAAUAAGAAUAUAAAAAUAAUUAUAAAUAAAAAAAAUUCAAUCUUUGUUGACAAUUGUUGUGAAUGAAUAAUCAGUUGCAACAAAUUUGAAUCACUAAAGAUGAAAUCUUUAACAAUUCCAACUUUCAUAGAACCCAAAAAAUUCUCUCUUCCUUAAGCCGAGGGUCUACCGGAAACAGUCUUUACAUCUUAUGAUCUUCAUAAGGUAAAGGUAGGGGUAAGGUCUACAUAUACACUAUCCUCACCAGACUCCACUAGUCGCAUUACCCAGGUUCGUUGUUGUUGUAAAGAACCCAAAAAAGCAUCAAACUUGAGCAAUAUCACAGCAUUUCUCGAAAGAUCUGAUUAUAACAAAAUAUAAAUAGCUAAAGAUGAAAUCUUUAACAACUCCAACUUUCAAGAACCUAAAAAAGAUCAAAACUUAAGCUAUAUCACAGCACUUCUCAAAAGAUCUAAUUAGGACAAAAUCUGAAUUAACUAAAGUUGAAAUCUUUAACAACACCAAAUUUCAAGAAUCCAAAAAAGAUCAAAACUUGAGCUAUAUCACAACAUUUCUCAAC